UGAGUAAGAGUAAACUGUCAAGACUUAAAACUUACUUACUUUACCUUCACCAUGGGACUUGUAACUGUCACUUCUGUCUUGAGUGGUUAAAAGAUAGAACAGUCUAGCCAAGUGCCAUGUCUCUUAUUCUUGAUCAGCUAUAGCUCUGGGGUUUUUGCAGAUUUUCAAAUAAAACUCAGAAUUCCUUGUAUGAUUCUCUCAGGUCUCUCUUUUGUGGUAUUUUUGGAUCCUUACCAAGGCAUUGAUGGUAUAUGCCUUCUCUCAAGAUAUGUGGUAUUUGUGGUAUGAGGCAUAGUAACAUUGCCUUCUCUCUCACCCUACUCUAAUAAGGCUUUAAUAUCUGGAGCUCAUAGGUGGGAGAUAAAAUAUACAUACUUACAAGACAUUUAUUGCAUAGUCAAACCAUGGAUCCAAAGUAACAAGUCAAUAAGUUUAAUCAAGAUGUGCAUGUGUGGCGAAUGAAUGGUAUAUGGUGAUGAUGGUGAUAACAAUGGUGGUGGAAGUCUAAUUCUACUUUGCUCUUUUGAGGGGAUACAUACCUUCCUUGCUUUUGAAACUUUAUGAUGAGAAUGAGAUGCUCUUCUUUUUCUUUUCUCUCGAGGUUCCGAGCACUUGCUCCUUUUUAUUUCCUCGUAUUAUUUUCUCUCUCUUUUUUUUAGAGCACUCAUCUCUUGAGAUAAUAUAGCAAGUGGUAGUAACAAGAUAACUUGAGCAUUUAUUUCACAAAGGGGAAAACAGAAAAUAUUUUUGGUUAUUCUCUCCCGGAUUAGGAGUAGAAUAUUUUUAGGUGGUUCUGGAGAUGGAAUGGGUGGAUAUAUGUGGAUGGUACUUCCGGAGUAGAAGUAGCAUAUAUGAGUGAACGUGCAAGUGAAAUCUUGAUUUAACCACAUGACAAGCUCCUAAGGGUCUACACAGCUUGACCAUACUCAAUGCUCAUAAGCAGUAAAUAGUAAAUGCGUGGCUCAAGGUCUAGCAAGCAUGUAUAUAUGGCUGUGGUAGGAAUUUAAACUCUCAUCAUACAGGAACUCAUCAUGCAACAUUUUAAAGAUUUUCAAAGAUAAAAUUCUCCAGAAUUCUAGCAUCUCUAGGAACAGAUAAACAGCAGCUCAGCCUUUCCAUAUCGUAUCCGUUAACAACUUAGACUUCAGAUCAAGUUUUCAUCCCACAAGUUUAGGUCUAGGGCAAGCUUUAAAUUAUAACAGUUAUGUCUAAACUUGAGAGAGAACUUAAAAUGUGCAAAUUAGGCAGAGCAACUAUUCAUCAUAUCCAUGCUUAAGUUUUAUUAGAUACAGAUUAGCAUAGCCACUUUAUUUAUUAAUUAAACACACUAAGCAAAAGAUAUAUAUAUAAGCAUAAAAUCUUUAUUUGGUUUUCCCAUAGUUUAUGUGUAUUUUAAUAUUCUAAAAUAAUAUAAGUAUAAAGAUAGAUAGAAAUACUUAUCGUGAUAAAUGGGGGUGCUCUCCCCCAAGCUGAAUUUUGACGUAAUUUCUCUUGAUAUAGCUAGCAGGUGGCAGAGGUGUAGUUGAAAGUCAGCAGCAUUCUGACAACGAUUAGAAUGUCCUCCGUAUGCUAGUCUUCUUGAAUUCUGUGGAGCUCAAAUAGACAACAAAGCUUGUGGAACUGAUUAAGUGUUAGCAUAAAUAUAUAACCUUCAUCAUCUUGAGACUCCUUAAUAAUUAUUACUCCCUGUUUUUAUAUUUUUAUUUUAUAAAGCAGAAAAAUAUUUAUUUUAUUUUUAUGCCACCACAGUGAAUGUACUUAUGGGUUUUAUGCCACUUGUCUACUCACAUGGGGCUUACUGUUUUUCACAUUUUUAUUUUGUUUUAUUUUUAAGAUAGUAUGAAUAUGAUUAACUAAGUAAACUAUUUAAAAUAAUUGAAAGGGAAAGGAUAACUACCAAGUUUACCUCUUGGCAAGGCGUUCGGUGUUUUUAAGUCCUCCGAACGGGACUCUCCAUUUUCUCAAUCGUCCUGAGGUUCGUUGGGUGGCGUAGUCGGUACUUCCGGCAGCGCCUCCUCUUCUUGUAUAGUUAUCUUCAUUUUCCACACCUGACUCGGUGCUUCAAUCUCCUCUGGAUAAUUCUGUUUAAACUCUAUGUCUUCUGACCUUACAACUUCUCCUUCAUAGUCUGCCCAUCCGUCCUUGAUGAUCUGCCUCCUCUGGUUGCGGUUGCGUCUCUUUCUGACCUGCUUAGAUUCUUCAACAAUAUAGUUAGGGUUAGUAAAGUAACGGCGUACCUUCUCUGAGGGGAAGUGCAUAUGGACUUCUCCGGUUCCAAUCUAGAUAAUUGCUUUAACGGUGCUGAGGAACGGUCUUCCAAGGAUGAUGGGUGGAUCAUAUUCGUCUUCUCCCAUGUCAACAACUUGAAAGUCUGUGUAGACAAAGUGAUCGUCUAUUUUGACUGGGACAUCAGAUACUAUUCCUUGAACUUCUCGAAAUGUCUGAUCUGCCAUCUGGAGUUGAAUGUAUGUUGGUCUUAGUGGCAUGGUUCCGAACAAGAGCCGAUAGGUGACUGCGGCCAUUAUGUUGACGCCUGAUCCGGUGUCGCAAAUCGUCUUGUAGAAGUUAUAUCCAUUUAUGGAGCAGUAGAUGCUUGGCAUUCCUGGAUCGUCCUUCUUGGUCAAAAACGGUGACUUCAAUUGGUGAUCUUGGCCUCCAUGGACUACAGUGACCAUCUUAGCUGACUCGGUCCACACUUGCUUGUUCCUGUUUCUCCUGUUGGUCCUCUUCCUUGAUUUACGUCUGGAUUGAUCUUGAAUUUGUGUAGUCUUGUUCUUGAAGAAAAAUAUCUCCUUCUUCCCUUUGACGUAGAAACUGAUCUUAGCAGCACUGGCAUAGAUGAUAGCUCCCGUGGUGUUCAAGAAUGGCCUCCCUAGGAUGAUAGGUGCUCUCUCAUCAUUUCCGGUCUCUACCACUACGAAGUCUGCUGGUGCAUACAAGGUACUAACUCGGACACAAAGGUUUCUCACUAUUCCUUUUGGAAAAGUUAUCGUCUGAUCUGCAAACUGCAAACACAUGGUUGUCUCUAAUAAAGGAUAUGUAAAGAAUUUCUCAUAGAGUACCCUGGGUAUAAUGUUGACACUGGAGCCAAAGUCACAGAGUGCUUCUGGGAAGUCCACCAUGCCGAUGGAGAUCGGGAUGACGGGGCGUCCUGGAUCGCCUCUCUUGACUGGCAGACGGUCAGUAGAAAAUUCAGUGACGGGGUUACUCCAAUUACCUGCAUCAAACACGUCUACAAGAUUUGCAGAUUCUAAUCCUUCCGGUUGUGAUGGUAUACCGGGGUUAGUAGUAGGAACAGCAGCAGCUAUUUGAUUUAACUGGGAUUCAAUCAUUUUAUUAAAGCUAAUUUGAUUCUUGAUGGCAGUAGAAAAAUUAUCCAUUCUAUUAUUUAUAUUUUCUAGCAUUUUAUCAUUAGAUGCCAAUUUCUUAGAUAGGUUAUCCAUUAGCUUUCCUUGAUUAGACACUAACUCUCUCAAAGGUGGAAAAUUAUUAUUAUUAUUGUAAGAAUUGUUACCUUGAUAAUUACCUGAGUAGUUAGGCCUUUGUUGAUUCCAACCUUGAUUUUGUUGAGGACGGUUGUAGUAGUAGUUGUUGUUGUUGUUGAUGUAGUUCACAUCCUUAAGUAUCUCAGGGCAGUGGUUGCCUGAGUGUCCAGUGUCUCCACACUCCUCACAAGUCAUGUGAGAAUCGUAGAUGUGCAUAACUUCUUUCUUGUCUCCAGCUCUAUCAUCGAGCUUCUUCAUGAGCAGGUCUAGCUUUGCAGACAGCAUGUCUACCUCCUUCAGCUGAUGCAUACCUCCACCUCUCUUGCGUGUCUGGGUCCUCUCUUCAUUCCAGCUUUGAUUGGACGCCAUCUUCUCCACAAGAGCUGUGGCUUGUGGUAUAGUAAGUGAUAAGAAUGCUCCUCCAGCUGCAGCAUCCAUAGUCUCUCGGGCACUGUUGCUGAGCCCAUGAUAGAAUGUCUGCAUCAAUAGCCAACUCUCCAUUCCAUGAUGGGGACAUUCUAGGAUGUAGUCUUGAAAGCGCUCCCAUGCUUCUGGAACAGAUUCAUUAUUUUGUUGCUGAAAACUUGUAAUCUUCCCACGGAGAGCAUUGGUCUUGCCCAUGGGAAAGAACUUAGCCAGGAAGUUUGUUGAGCAGAGUGCCCACGUAGUAUUCUUCUCCUUUGUAGCGUAGAACCACUGCUUCGCUCUUCCUAACAGUGAGAAUGGGAAGAGGCGAAGUAGUAUAGCGUCUUUGGAAACUCCUGCUAUGGUGAAUGUGUUGCAAAUCUCCAGGAAGUGUUGUAAAUGAGCACUAGCAUCUUCGUGUGCCUUCCCACAGAACUGGUUGGAUUGCACCAUGUUGAUAAGUCCAGGCUUGAGCUCAAAGUUGCCAUCGAUCUCUGCAGCAGGUCCAGUGCGGAUGUUGUCCGUAGUGGGAGCUGAGAACUCGCGGAUUGAUUUGUUCGCCAUGGCUUCGAACUCUGAAGACAAGUUCCGGUGAUCUUCUUGAUUGGAUGAAGCUUCUUCAUGAAGUGUUGAUGAUUUCUUUAGCUUGGCUCUCGUCUUCUUGAAUAUGCUUCGGGAUUGUCAACAAAAUUUCCUGGAAGAUGUCUUCUAUUCAUACAUUCCCCUGCAUAUGAUAAAAUAGAAAAAUAUCGGGGUAAGACUGUAUGAGAGAAUAGAUAAGCUCAAUCAUAUUAGUGAUGCGAAUGAUAAAUCAAAAUCUUUUAUUCCAUUCCUGAUUAGUAAUCAACCUUCCCCGGCAACGGCGCCAAAAAUGCUUGUUGGGUAUUCUUAACAUCAUUACUAAAAGUAGACUAAGUUCUAAAUCUAGCAACGGUGCCAAAAAUGCCAAACCUAUCCCUUACACCACUUAAGCCAAGUUGUCAUCCCCAGCAUGAUAUAAGAGACGCGGUAUUGAAAUAUGCAAUUGCUCUUCUAAAUAAAUAAUGAAUGGGAUCUGCAAGCGCACAGAUUAAUACCGAUGCAGCAUUUUAACCGGGAAGUAUUCCAGGUAUCGUUAUUUAUAUUUUUACCACUGGGAAGGGAUUAGUCAAUCAUCACUAUUGAUUACAGAAUAGAAUAUGAGAUUGAGCAUCUAUCAUUGCAUGUAUAAUUGAGAACAUUAUAUCUAACUCAUCAUACAGGGAUAAGUGUCACAUAAAAGAUAUAUGAAAUGAUAAUAGUGACAAGGAUAACUAAUCUGAUCUAGCCACAUAAUAAAUAUGAUAAGCACCUCAAUUAGAUACUCUAGAAAGUCAUUAGCAUGGUAUUAGAACGAACUACAAGAAUAUUCCCUAAGUUAUUCUCAACUAUAUAGUCUAGCAUAUCAUAGUUAGUGCAAGCAUACUUAGCAAUCAUUGCGAGACAAGACUACGCCCAUGCAUAGUGAUAUUAGCAAGGAAUAUGAGAAACAUAGCAAUCACUCCCCUGUAAUAAUGUUGCUCUGCCAGCCCAAUACACGAGAGGGGGACUAUAUAAGAAUCAAUGAAGCUGUCACUAUCACGAACUACCCCACGAUCUGGCAUAUUGGGUACAAUCGCAGAUAAAUACGGUAUAAGCACCACGCCUACACAAUAUCUAUCAUUUACCCAUGGAUCCGAUGGAUAAACGCUAUACGAUCCUAAGCAUGUAUAUAGAUCGUAUCUAACUAAGCCAAGUACAUAACUAUGAUAAACUAAGAACAAUAUAAUCUUGAAUAUAAGCAAGUAGAGCAAAGUCAUAAGCAAUAUAUUGAAGUAGAAUAAAGUCAUAUUCAUAAUAUUGAAGAACAAAGAUAAUUAGAAAGCAAUUAGAAGCACAAUUAGAGAAUUACCAAGAAUCCUCCUGACAGAUCCGGAAACCUAUCGAAGAUUGACUCCUUCUAGUUCUAAUCCUAUGUAGCUAUGCUAAUCUAGAUAUCUAAUUGAUGUGGUGGCUCUAAUCUUGAUCAGAGGCUUCUUCUCCCUUGAUGGAACAAUGAAUUAGGGUUGAGAGGCUCUCUCCUCCAAGGGCCAGGGGGUCUAGUUUUAUAGUCCCUUCAAGUGAAUAUGGGCCCUUGGAUCAAACCGACAUAGAUUGUAUGGUUUAGAUUCAUCCUUUAGGUCGGUGGAGACUUCCCGCAAAGCAGAGUCCUGAUUGGACUCCAGAGGUGGGCGGGCACCCUGACCAACUGGGCGGCCGCCCAGGGUGUGGCCCCGUUUCGCAUCCGCUUCGGUCUCGUGGCUUCUGGAGUCUUCUAGAUGUAAGAUAAUUGCGCAGCACGUUAAUAUCUUUACGUAAUCCUGACAUGUGGGCCUUUCUUCCAUAUUUCCUGAUAACUCCCUGCAGAAAUAGACAAACACCAAAACUCGUGGAAUUCUGUCAGAUAAAACCCUAAGUCUAGAUCUUGAUUUCAUUUGGAUCCUUUUCUUUAUUUAUUUGAUAAUUAAAUUUGAUACUUAAGGACCGUCAACAAUCGUCCCAAAGAUUCCUUUAUGACUUUUGUUGUGGGGGUUAAGACCAAAUUUUUAAAUAAUUUAAGUGCAAAAGAUUCACACAUGAUGUUGAUCCCCACAACAGGAUUAUAGAGAGCAUCAAAUCGAUGAGAAUCAUAAGCACAGCGUAUAGUUAUAGGAGGUGUGUCCAAACGGAUCACAUCAGAGGAAAGCUCUGACUCCUCCAACCAUUCGCUACUCAUCACUGUGAUAAGCUCUCUCAAUUGAUGUUCAGUUGGCAAACAAAUGCUAAAAUGGCUAUUUUGGGGUCUGUCUAUAGAUGGUAGUUUGAAAUGUUUCCAAAAUCGGCAAAAAGAUCAGAUUCUAUUUCCAGCAUGAAAUUAGGUGGCGGAAUUUCUUCCUUUUGUGGCUCAGAACUUGGGAUAGCUAAAGUAGAUGGAGAAUUUGGCAGAGUGUCUACUUUGGCUUCGUGGGUUUCAUCAUGAAGUGUAUUAUCCAUCUCAGCUUCUAGGAUUCUAUCUAGGAUCACUCUAGCGUCAUCAGUAGGGAUGCGAAAGAAAGAACCCCUAGACAUUGUAUGUAGCAUUUGUUUAUGAUCUUUCUAAAGACCUCAAUAAAAUGAAAUAAUAGAACAAGAUCUUCAAGAUUAAGGUUUGGACCAGAUUCUAAAAGAUCAGAAAAAUGUUUCUAGGAUUUUCCCAAAGUUUCAUUAUCUUUUUGUUUAAAAGAUAGGACUUCCAUUCUAAGGUCGCCGAUAUGGUCGAGUGAAUAAAAAUCUAGACAAAAGUUGGCUCGUAAGACUCCCCAUUCACCUCGUUGUUGACUUACCUUCUGACUAUACCAUUGUCUAGCUUUUCCCCUUAAAGAAUAAGGAAAAAGCUUCCAACGUAAAGUCUUAUCAGAAAUGCCUUCAAUACGAAGACAAUCACAUGUUUGCUCAAAAUCUCUAAUGUGAAGGUAAGGGUUUUUGUCUUCCUUUCCUGAAAAGGAUAGGUUUUGAAGCAUGGCAAUCAACCUGGAACUUAACCUAUACUGGGAUGUUUGGAUAGGCUGUGAUGACUCCCAUGGUAAAAUGUCAGUUUCCGAAGGUAUUGCAAAUUGAUAGAUCGAUUUAGAAUCUUGGUUUUCCAUAAGGUAAGAAUAAAGAAAAUAAAGAAUAUAUAUAAAAAGAUAAGAAAAGAUAAAAGUAUAGAUACAAGCUAGUAGUAAGACUCAAGGUUAUCUCAGCAAACCGUCUUUCUCCCCGGCAACGGCACCAGAAAUGCUUGUUGAUAUUUGGUAACGCAAAAAGAAUUAAUCCGCAAGCGCAUGGAUAUCGGUGAGGACUUCACCCGGGAUGUUAUCCAGAGUAUCGUAUUUAUAUUUUUACCACUAGGAGAAGAGUGCAUCUGACUAACCUGGUCUAUUACUACUAACCUUUAGGCUACAAAGAAUGUGAUUCGAUGUGAGUGAUGUAUAGAGAACACUACAACCACACUCUCGUUCUAACCUUGGUAAGGAUGAUCUACUGUUCUGCUGGGGAAGCUCACAGAAUCUAGACACCACAGAGGAUGUUUGACCCGCACCUAUAAACCCUAUCGAUCCGACUAACGGGAUAUGGGCUACAAAGGUAACUCGGAAAUGUCACGUUCCUUGCUACUACCACGGUUUAGCUAGUCAGGGGAUAUCUAUGAGUAUCCUAUCCCAAACACCAUGUUUACACUAGAGAUGAUUACUCUAAACUCUACGCGAAGAGAUCAAAGUAAACUCAUAAACCAAAAAACAAUAAAACAAGAACUUACUAGAAUUUAGAAGUCGAAAUACUGAAGAAUCCUAGGAGAAAGCCUCAGGUUAGGAGACUUGAUCCCGCAGGUACAACCUUGGAGUAGAUGUUGACACUUGCUAACACCACUUGAAUACUAGGUUGUCAUCCUCAGCAUGGCACUAGAGUGUACUAUGGUAUUUAUACGCACGCCGAUAAAUCCGCAAGCGCACAGAUACCGUUGUAGCUUUUACCCGAUUGAAGGUUUUAUCGUAUCCACAGGGAAACGGGAGAACUAAUCUACGCUCUAACUUAACCUAGAUAGAUAGGUAAGUGUAAACAGGAAAGAUGGUAGAAUUGAAUAAGAACAAUAUUGAAGGUAAUAUAACAGUGGGUGACAAUAUGGGUAUAGAGAGUAGAGCAAUCUAGUAUAUGGGCGAUGGUAGGAGAAUAGAGAGGAUAACUAUGGUUUCUCUACUUCAAAGGGGUAUGUCUAUGUCUGGGACGAACCACGUGAUAAGAAUACACCACAAAGGAUGAUUAUUCAUAGGCCAAUAAACCCUACCCGUCCUGCUAACAGGAGGUGGACUACAGGGGACCAACGUAACUAUCACCUACGCGGCCUACCAUACAAUCCAGUUAGACAGGGGAUAUCCACAAGUAAUCUAGGUCUAAGCACCACGCUUACACCUAUACUACAACUCUAACCUAUGGGGUCCUAUAGAUUAAAAGUAAUCAAAAAAGUUGUGAACCAGAACAUACAUGAAUAGUAAUUGCAUAAUGAAAUAGAAGUAGAUUACCAGAGUCAUCGCAUGAGCAAGCUUGAUUAGAACUUGAUCAUGGCAAAGUACAACCAGAGGAAGAAACGACAGGCCGGCCUCUCCUCCAAUCCUCCCUCGCUCUCCAUCUCGCUAUUAUCUAGAUCUACUCUAGUUUAGAGAUGAGAGGACAGCUCUCAUCUCCAAACCCUAGCUCUUGCUCUAUCUAUGUAGAGGAAAGGUUAUCCUUCGAGGGCACCUCUCAACUCUACAAUGAACUUGUCCUGCCCCAGGGGCCAGGGGGUCUGCUUAUAUAGUCCCCUCAAGUGAAUCUGGGCCGUCGGAUCAAACCGACAUUGAUUGAACGGUUAUCCUUGAUCCUUUAGGUCGGUGGAGCGUAAUCCGCGAGACGGGUUCUGAUUGGACUCUAACUCAGGGUGGGCGCCCUACCCCCGGGCCCGAUCGCCUUCCUGUUUGUUCUCGUCGCUUCUAGAGUCUUCUAGAUGAUAGAAAAUUGUGCGGCACGUUAAUAUCUAUAUGUAAACACGACAUGUGGGCCUUUCCUCCAUAUUUCCUGAUAACCCCCUACAUAAAUAGACAAACACCAAAACUCGUGGAAUUCGGUCAGAUAAAACCCUAAGUUUGGGUGCUGGUUGUAUUUGGAUCCUUUUCUUUAUUUAUUUGAUGAUUAUAUUUGGUACUUAAGGAACGUCAACAAAUCCCCCAAGCUUACCUCUUGCUCGGCCUUGAGCAAGGAUGGACUCAAGAGUUUCUGCAGUGGUUUCAUGCCUUAAAAGGACACAUGCAUUCAAGCAAUAUUUCAUCUCCGAGUUAAAGUAAACUGUUAAGACUUAAAACUUACUCAUUUUUCCUUUCACCAUGGGGCUUGCAACCGUCACUUGUGUCUCGAGCAGUUAAAAGAUAGAACGGUCAAGUCAAGCGCCAUGUCUCGUAUUCUUGAUCAGCUAUAGCUCUAGAGUUUUUGCAGAUUUUCAAAUAAAACUCAGAGAUUCCUUGUAUGACUCUCUCUAUUCUCUCUUUUGUGGUAUUUCUAGAUCCUUACCAAGGCAGUAAUGGUAUAUGCCUUCUCUCAAAGUAUGUAGUAUUUGUGGUAUGAGGCAUAGUGAUAUUGCCUUCUCUCUCACCCUACUCUAAUAAAGUUUUGAUAUCUAGAGCUCAUAGGUGGGAGACAGAUUAAUACAUACUUACAAGACAUUUAUUGCAUAGUCAAACCAUGGAUCCAGAGAAACAAGUCAAUAAGUUAAAUCAAGAUGUGCAUGUGUGGCGAGUGAAUGGUGUAUGGUGAUAACAAUGGUGAAAGUCUAAUUCUACUUUUGCUCUUUUGAGGAGAUACCUACCUUUCUUGCACUUGAAGCUUUUUGAGGGGAAUGAGAUGCUCUAUAUUUUCUUUUUCUUUUCUCUCAGGUGGGUAUCUUGUACCCCUAAUUCUACUGUCGGACACUUGUCCAUUUUUACCUCUCGUCUCACUUUUUCUUUUCUUCGAGGUUCCGGGCACUUGUCCCUUUUUAUUUCCUCGUAUAUAUAUUUUUUUAGAGCACUCACCCUCCUAAAAUAAUGUAGCAAGUGGUAGUAACCAAAAUAUCUCGAGCAUUUAUUUUACGGGGAAUAACAGGGAUAGGAUAAUGUUUUUGGCUAUUCUCUCCUAGAUAGGAGUAGAAUAAUUUUAGGUGAAUCUGGAGAUGGGAAUGAGUGGAUGUAUGUGGAUGCAUACUUCCAGAGUAGAAGUAGCAUGUAUGAGUGAACGUGCAAGUGAAUCUUGAUUUUAACCGCAUAACAAGCUCCUAAGGGUCUACAUAGCUUGACCACACUCAACGCUUGUAUAUGUGGCUGGGGUAGGAUUUUAAACUCUCAUCAUACAGGAACUCAUCAUGCACAUAUUAAAGAUUUUCAAAGAUAAAAUUCUCCAGAAUUCUAGCAUCUCUAGGAACAGAUAAACAGCAGCUCAACCUUCCCAUAUCAUAUCCGUUAACGACUUAGACUUUAGAUAAAGUACUCUUCCCAUAAGUUCAGGUGUAGAGCAAAUCUUAAUUCAUAACAGUCAUGCCUAAACUUGAGAGAGAAUUCAAUUCUUAGAACUAGUGAUGGCAGAGCAACUAUUCAUCAUUUCCAUGUGAGAGCUUAUCAUAAGGGUUCAUAGCAAACUUUAUUUAUUUAUUUAUUUAGCAAACUAAGCAUAGAUAUAUAUAUAAGCAUAAAAUCUUUAUUUGGGUUUUUAUGAUUAUGCAUCUUUUUAUUAUUUAAGUAAAGUAUAAACACGAGUAGAAACACUUAGCUGGAUAAAUGGGGAUGCUCUCCCCCAAGCUGGAUUUUGACGUAAUUUCUUUUGAUGUAGCUAGCAGGUGGCGGAGGUGUAUUUGAAUGUCGGUAGCACCCUGACAGCGAUUAGGAUGUCCUCCGUCUUCUAGUCUUCUUUGAUCCUUGAAUUUUGUGGAGCUCAAAUAGACAACAAAGCUUUAUGGAACUAGUUAAGUGUUAGCAUAAAUAUCUAGCCUUUAUCAUGUUGAGCCUCCUCAAUAAAUGUUACUCUCUCUGGUAGGAUCAUAAAUUUAUUUUUAUAUUUUUAUUUUUAUAGGACAGGAAUAUAUUUAUUUUAUUUUUAUGCCACCACAGUGAAUGUACUUAUGGGUUUUAUGCCAUGAGCAUACUCACAUGGGGCUUACUAUUUUUAACAUUUUUAUUUUCUUUUCAAGAUAGCAUGAUUAACUAACAAGCCAUCUAAGAAAAGUAAAUAAUUUAAGGAAAAAGGGAAUACAAAAGGAUAAAUAUGUAUAACUACCGAUUUUACCUUUCGGCGAGGGUUUAAUGUUUUAAGUCUUCUGAAUAAGACUUCUCACCGUGUUUAUUCUUUAGGUGCGUCAUUUGAUUUAGGUGUGGACCUUGACAUCUGCACCUCUUGAUACAGUGUCACCCAUGUUCUUUGUUUGUCUAGCAGUUCGAGGUGUGGCAUUGGCAGUAUCUUGCUCAGUGUGUUUGUGCUCGCAGAUCCACGUCCUUCACUUGGUAGAGUUUGGGAAUUGAAAAAACCUCCAUGGUUCUCAAAAUGUGUCCUGCUCAUAGAGACAAGGCAGAGAUCAAGUGCAUGGGUCCUGUUGGUGGAAAACACCAACAGAACCAAAAGUAUAUUUAUUCUUCUCUAUCCUUAAGCUUAGGGAGCAAGACAAAGUUGAUGGGUGAUAAGUUCAUGAGUGUAGUAUUUAAAACAUUUAUCAGAUCAGAUCGCUCGACCUAAUGGAAAGAUAAUCUAUCUAUGUAUUUUUUCUUUUUCUUUAUAUCUUCCCAAAGAUUGAAUGUGCAACAUUUUAGCUCAUAUGAUUAGGAGUUUAGGAUCAUGGAGGUAGUACUAGGAACAAAGAUUAAAGGACUAAACAUGCUGAAUUAGUUGGGUUGGUUAAUUUAGAGUUAUAAAUCAUACAUGUUUGUCUCUUUUAUUCAUAUGAACGCCAGAACCAAGGAGAAGCUUAUAAAAGUGAUAGUCAACUGCCUUAAGAUGUUACCUUACUUGAAGAGUGAUGAUACAGUAUCACCUUGUGGAAGAUUUUCUUUCUUAGCAGUUGUGCAUCUUGUUUAUGUACUUUGUCUCCUUCCAUGGAUCAUCUCUCUAUGAUGAAUGAGCUAUGUCCUUCUUGUGC
rnacentral:lncRNA from 1 species